GUACCUGCGGAGGGAUCAUUACCGAGUUUACAACUCCCAAACCCCUGUGAACAUACCACUUGUUGCCUCGGCGGAUCAGCCCGCUCCCGGUAAAACGGGACGGCCCGCCAGAGGACCCCUAAACUCUGUUUCUAUAUGUAACUUCUGAGUAAAACCAUAAAUAAAUCAAAACUUUCAACAACGGAUCUCUUGGUUCUGGCAUCGAUGAAGAACGCAGCAAAAUGCGAUAAGUAAUGUGAAUUGCAGAAUUCAGUGAAUCAUCGAAUCUUUGAACGCACAUUGCGCCCGCCAGUAUUCUGGCGGGCAUGCCUGUUCGAGCGUCAUUUCAACCCUCAAGCACAGCUUGGUGUUGGGACUCGCGUUAAUUCGCGUUCCUCAAAUUGAUUGGCGGUCACGUCGAGCUUCCAUAGCGUAGUAGUAAAACCCUCGUUACUGGUAAUCGUCGCGGCCACGCCGUUAAACCCCAACUUCUGAAUGUGACCU
rnacentral:rRNA from 1 species